rnacentral:rRNA from 1 species
UACGUAGGAUGCAAGCGUUGUUCGGAAUUACUGGGCGUAAAGAGUACGUAGGCGGUUUGAUAAGUCUGCUCUUAAAGACUGGAGCUUAACUCCAGGACUGUAGUGGAAACUGUCAGACUAGAGGACAAUAGAGGAAGUCGGAAUUCUCAGUGUAGCGGAGAAAUGCGUAGAUAUUGGGAAGAACACCAGUGGCGAAAGCGGACUUCUGGGUUGUUACUGACGCUGAGGUACGAAAGCGUGGGGAGCAAACGGG